ensembl:snoRNA SNORD83 Small nucleolar RNA SNORD83
GCCAAAUGAUGUUUAUUUGAUACAGGAGCACUUCAGUGCCAGGACGACUCUUAAUCUAUCACCCAUGACUGAUGGCU